UGGGGAAUUUUGGACAAUGGGCGAAAGCCUGAUCCAGCAAUGCCGCGUGUGUGAAGAAGGCCUUCGGGUUGUAAAGCACUUUUGUCCGGAAAGAAAUCCUUGGCUCUAAUACAGUCGGGGGAUGACGGUACCGGAAGAAUAAGCACCGGCUAACUACGUGCCAGCAGCCGCGGUAAUACGUAGGGUGCAAGCGUUAAUCGGAAUUACUGGGCGUAAAGCGUGCGCAGGCGGUUUGCUAAGACCGAUGUGAAAUCCCCGGGCUCAACUGGGAACUGCAUUGGUGACUGGCAGGCUAGAGUAUGGCAGAGGGGGGUAGAAUUCCACGUGUAGCAGUGAAAUGCGUAGAGAUGUGGAGGAAUACCGACGGCGAAGGCAGCCCCCUGGCCAAUACUGACGCUCAUGCACGAAAGCGUGGGGAGCAAACAGGAUUAGAUACCCUGGUAGUCCACGCCCUAAACGAUGUCAACUAGUUGUUGGGGAUUCAUUUCCUUAGUAACGUAGCUAACGCGUGAAGUUGACCGCCUGGGGAGUACGGUCGCAAGAUUAAAACUCAAAGGAAUUGACGGGGUCAUAGCUGUUUCCU
rnacentral:rRNA from 1 species